rnacentral:rRNA from 1 species
GACGAACGCUGGCGGUGUGCUUAACACAUGCAAGUCGAACGUAAAGGUCCUGCUUUUGUGGGGUGCUCGAGUGGCGAACUGGUUAGUAACACGUUAUUAACCUGCCCUUGACUUUGGGAUAACUUCAGGAAACUGGGGCUAAUACCUGAUAGGAGCUCCUGCUCCAUGGUGUGGGUUGGAAAGUCUCGACGGUUGGGGAUGGACUCGCGUCUUAUCAGCUUGUUGUUUGGGUAGUGGCUUACCAAGGCUUUGACGGGUAGCCGGCCUGAGAGGGUGACCGGGCAAAUUGGGAAUGAGGUAAGGCCCAGACUCCUACGGGAGGGAAGAGGGGGGGAAAUUGCAAAAAGGGCGGAAGCCUGAUGCAGGAACGACGGGGGGGGGGUAAAGGCCUUCGGGUUGUAAACCGCUUUCGCCUGUGACGAAGCGUGAGUGACAGUAAUGGGUAAAGAAGCACCGGCUAACUACGUG